rnacentral:rRNA from 1 species
UAGGGAAUCUUCGGCAAUGGACGGAAGUCUGACCGAGCAACGCCGCGUGAGUGAAGAAGGUUUUCGGAUCGUAAAGCUCUGUUGUAAGAGAAGAACGAGUGUGAGAGUGGAAAGUUCACACUGUGACGGUAUCUUACCAGAAAGGGACGGCUAACUACGUGCCAGCAGCCGCGGUAAUACGUAGGUCCCGAGCGUUAUCCGGAUUUAUUGGGCGUAAAGCGAGCGCAGGCGGUUAGAUAAGUCUGAAGUUAAAGGCUGUGGCUUAACCAUAGUACGCUUUGGAAACUGUUUAACUUGAGUGCAGAAGGGGAGAGUGGAACUCCAUGUGUAGCGGUGAAAUGCGUAGAUAUAUGGAGGAACACCGGUGGCGAAAGCGGCUCUCUGGUCUGUAACUGACGCUGAGGCUCGAAAGCGUGGGGAGCAAACAGGAUUAGAUACCCUGGUAGUCCACGCCGUAAACGAUGAGUGCUAGGUGUUGGGUCCUUUCCGGGACUCAGUGCCGCAGCUAACGCAUUAAGCACUCCGCCUGGGGAGUACGACCGCAAGGUUG